UCUGAACAGGACUUUUAUUUUGGAGCGACGACAUGACGUCAUAAGACUGCGCCGCGCUCCUGCAUCUGUUGUGAUUCUGCUGAAGAAAGAUGGAGUUUAUUAAAGAGGAGAGUGAAGAUGUGAAGAUUGAGUUUAUUAAAGAGGAAAGUGAAGAUGUGAAGAUAAUUAUUAAAGAUGAGACUGAAGACAUGAAGAUUGAAGAAACAUUCAGUGUGAAACAUGAAGAUACUGAGGAACAAACAGAUCUAAUAGCACUGAAAGAGGCGAGCCUUGAACUUAAUGAAAGGGAAGAAGAGAAAGAACAUUAUGAUGAACAUCAUGAUUUCAUGACUGGGGAAAGAUCGACAUGGGCUAAAAAGACUUCCUCACGAAAAAGAGUUCAAAAGACAGGAACUAAAAGAUAUUUCGCCUGCCAACAGUGUGGAAAGAGUUUUGAUCAACAUGGAAACCUUCAAGUCCAUAUGAGAAUUCAUACGGGAGAAAAGCCGUACACCUGCCAACAAUGUGGAAAGAGUUUCACAUAUAAAGGAAACCUUAAAGUCCACAUGAAAGUUCACACUCAGAGAAGGCUUACACCUGCCAACAGUGUGGAAAGAGUUUCACACAUAAAGGAAACCUUAAAGUCCACAUGAGAAUUCACACUGGACAGAGCCUUUUCACAUGUCAACAGUGUGGACAGAGUUUCAGUCAAAAAGGAAACCUUAUAGCCCACAUAAGAACUCACACUGGAGAAAAGCCUUACACCUGCACUCUGUGCGGGAAUGGCUUCAAACGAGAACUAAGCCUUAGGGAACACAUGAAUAUUCACACUGGAGAGAAGCCUUUCACAUGUGAUCAGUGUGGAAAGAGUUUCAGAUUUCAAAGUAACCUUAAGGUCCACAUGAGGAUUCACUCGAAAGAGAGCUGUUUUAGAAGUCGUUACUGUAGAAAGAGCAGAGGUGUAAAGAGUACCUGAAAACCAUAUUUGAGUAGAAGUACAGAUACCUUACAGCGAAAAUUACUCCGUUACAUGUUAGAAGUCAAACUGCCAAGCAGUAGUGGCCAAAAGUGAUGUUUGGCUUAGGAAAAUUGACAUAUUCAGCCUUUAUUUAAAUAUUCUUAAAAAUGUCUAAAGAUUUUGUAAGUAUAUUGCGUAGUUGUGAUAACUAGUAAAACAAAUUGUGUGACAAUUUUUGUCCAGGAUUAUCAACACCCUGUCAUCAUUUAACUCCAAUACAUUAUAUUUUCAUUGAAAAGUG